UCUUUGUGCAGACAGACAUUUGAGCAAGUUCGUAGAAGGGCUCCGCCGAGCAGUGACGAUGGGCUGCGAGUCGGCUGAGACCGGCCUCGGGAGGCGUGAAGCGCCCGCCGUUACUGGCAGGGCUCCGCGGAGCCGGGUGCCCUUCGGGUGCUGGGCGCAGACGUGAGCGACCUACAGACACGCUCCCUCACUUAGGAAAUUAGUGCGGCGUGAUAACUUGAGAGCUUGGAGGAGCUGAAAAAUGAAUAGCAUUUGGGGAAGAAAGAGGAUUUCCAGGCAGGAAGCCACAUCCUGUUACCUAUGCAUUGGUAGGAAAGGCAUGUUCAAAAUGAAGUUGCUACGAAUUUCCUUACUGCCCUUGAAGGCCUUCCUGAUGCAAACGCUGUUUCUCAGUGUUAGACGGCACGGCAGCCCGCACGACGGUUCCGCAAGAAAAGCCAUGAUGAACCAGCCUGAGCUAAGUCGGGUUUUAUUAAUCCAGUUCUGGGGGAAUAUCAGGUUAUAACUGAGAUAACCUCCUGAAAGCUUUCCAGUGCUCAGCCGAGGGCUGUGACCCAACAAAGGUGAAGUAAGGUGAGCCGACGUGCAGGCGUGUUACACUCUGAGCCGGGAGGUAGGAGCCCAGGAACCAACAUCAACGCCCCGAGGAACCACAGAGUGCCCCCGGGCCACAGGAGCGGGUCCCAGCAGGUGGGCGUGGCCUGGGGGCCAGACAUGGGGGAAGUAAAAUUACACGGGAGUUUUGUUAUCCGUAAACUGAGGGAAGUACAAAUACACGACAAAGGGCGCCUAAAGGCUGGCGAGUUCUCCAGAUAAGCUGUAUUAAGGCCAAGGAACAAACAUUUCCAAUUUAGAUCUCUAAAUAUGCCCAAUAAUAACUGUCAGGGUGCCCUCCCAGCUCUCCACACAUCCCCGGGGCGGGGGCAAAAAGGAGAUUUUCGUGACUUUAAAUGUUACAAGUGAACCCACACAUGCCACGUGUGUGUACACUAUUUUUCCAAAAUACAAAAGUAUAAAAAUAAAAUUUCUGCCUUCUGUAUCUAGAAACAUCUA